rnacentral:rRNA from 1 species
AUUGAACGCUGGCGGCAUGCUUAACACAUGCAAGACGAACGGCAGCACGGGAUAGUUUACUAUCUGGGUGGCGAGUGGCGAACGGGUGAGUAACGCGUAGGAAUAUGCCCUAAGGAGUGGGAUAACAUGGGGAAACUCAUGCUAAUACCGCAUAACAUCUGAGGAUGAAAGCUGGGGACCGCAAGGCCUGGCGCCAUAGGAGUAGCCUGCGUCCGAUUAGCUAGUUGGUGGGGUAAAGGCCUACCAAGGCGACGAUCGGUAGCUGGUCUGAGAGGAUGGACAGCCACACUGGGACUGGGACACGGGCCAGACUCCUACGGGAGGCAGCAGUGGGGAAUAUUGGACAAUGGGGGGAACCCUGAUCCAGCAAUGCCGAGUGUGUGAAGAAGGCCUGAGGGUUGUAAAGCACUUUCGUUGGGGAGGAGAAUUGAGGGGUUAAGAGCUGCUUGAUGAGACGUUACCCAAAGAAGAAGCACCGGCUAACUCCGUGCCAGCCGCCGCAGUAA